GAGCGCGCCCCGACUCUAGCAAGACUCUCAGGAUUUCAUUCCGAUAUAGGAAAUUAGUCUUCGACAGUGGAAUCACUUGAAAAGCCGUUUGGUGUAAGGUCGACAUUAGUUGAAAGAACAC